rnacentral:rRNA from 1 species
GACGAACGCUGGCGGCGUGCUUAACACAUGCAAGUCGAACGGAAAGGCCCUGCUUUUGUGGGGUGCUCGAGUGGCGAACGGGUGAGUAACACGUGAGUAACCUGCCCUUGACUUUGGGAUAACUUCAGGAAACUGGGGCUAAUACCGGAUAGGAGCUCCUGCUGCAUGGUGGGGGUUGGAAAGUUUCGGCGGUUGGGGAUGGACUCGCGGCUUAUCCGCUUGUUGGUGGGGUAGUGGCUUACCAAGGCUUUGACGGGUAGCCGGCCUGAGAGGGUGACCGGCCACAUUGGGACUGAGAUACGGCCCAGACUCCUACGGGAGGCAGCAGGGGGGAAUAUUGCACAAUGGGCGGAAGCCUGAUGCAGCAACGCCGCGUGCGGGAUGACGGCCUUCGGGUUGUAAACCGCUUUCGCCUGUGACGAAGCGUGAGUGACGGUAAUGGGUAAAGAAGCACCGGCUAACUACGUG